UCUAAUAUCACCUCUGAUGCUUAAGGAUUCCUUCAAAUUGAACAAUCAUGCAUGGAUU
rnacentral:sRNA from 1 species